rnacentral:lncRNA from 1 species
UAAAUCGAAGUUCAUUCCCACAUUUGACCUAUCUUCAAUAUAUGCUUGAAUUAAUGCAACAAAAUAACCACUGAAUAAUAUACAUCAUGUUCACAGUCCAAGCGAUUCAUAAGUUGUUCAACUUGCUUAAAUCCUACUGCAAUUCACCGAGGAAACCAUUCACAUGUGAAGCUAUUUUAAAACAAAACCACGAUUAACCUAUAAUCUCAUAAAACUGAUUCAAUUCCAACAGUUCCAAACGGUUUGCAAAACAUGAGACAACAAUGAAACUGGACAUUUACACUAAACAAGCUAACCAAAUUAGCUGUGGCUCAUGCCAUUCUAAGUUCACAGUAUGAAGUCCAUUGCAAUUUAAAAAACAAUCCUUGUUCAAUUACAGCAUCCAAAACGGUCAGAACGAUCCUAAUUAGAUAAUUUCUACUUCAGUAGAGUUCGAAUAGACUACAGCUACACAAAUACACAUUAUUGGCUUGACGAUGGAUACGUGAGCAUAGAUAUGAAACAUCGAUCCAUUCCAUUCCGAUUCGUGAUUACAUGAGUUGUGAAUUCGAGUAUGUACCUGGAAAAUUGCAACACAAAGAGAGGAUGAAGAUCAGUAGGAGCAAACAGUAAGUGUAGUAGUAAUAAUCCAUAGAACCAGCCCGGAAUCUUUUAAGUCGAACAAAACUUAACAAAUCCGCUCCAAAAAGUAUCAAAUUCACCCAGAAAUUCACACACAUGAACAAAUAGCUAACAGAACACUCGAAACAGAAUCAGACAACCAAUCUCAACUUGAAAUGAUCCAAAGCAACUCGAAAUUGAACUUAAAACAACUCCUGGAACUUGACUGGUGAAAAGCUCUACCAAAACCCACUUAAUUUGACUUAAAUUCAAACGAAAUGAACACUUGGACUUCUACAAUUAAAGUUGGAAUUAAAGGUGGGAAUCAUCAUUAAAAACAUCAAAAUCAACUUAGAAUUUUCGAUGGAAUAGUAUUCUAUUUUUGGAUUUUCUUGGUUAUUUUCCUUUUUGUUUGGUUUUUGAAGGUUUUUAAGAUUUGAAUUUCAAACUAGAGAGAUCAGAUCUGCAAAAUGAUUUUUGGUGGGAAUUUUUGAGCUCAAAACUUUGAUUUUCCUUUUUCUAAUGCUAAGAGUGAAGGUUUGAGAGAGAAUUUCAGAAUUUCUUUAAUGGUUGAUCCGUUCUCCUCCCCUUUUCUAAUGCAGGAGCAUGCUCUUAUAUCCAGCUUAGUAAGGCUAUCCCCUCCCUAGAUAAAACAUCUAACUUUCCCCAAUUCCUCACAUGUAACCUCCCCUUAUCCUUUAGGAAAUUCUCAGUUUGUUAGGAAAGAUUCCCUACCUAGAUUACCCGAAUUACCCUCAACCAAAUAUCUCAACUAACCUCUAAUACACAGGUUAAUUACCCUCUCCAAAACCAAUCUGACCAAGGGUCAUUCUGGCCCAAACAAAUAAGGUUCGAGGCCUGCUAUUGAGCCAGGAUGAAGUGAUUCGAGGACCCAAAACUCAAACCUAGCUCAUAAACAAACAAAAAACCUCUCCAAUUCUGAUCCAAACAAAUUAAUACAUACACGAUGACCCAAGAAAAAUACACGUAAACUAAAUACUGAUAUGAAAUUAAUUUUAAAAAACCCUUUAGACAGAAUUAAACCACGAUUAACCUAAAACCAUUUCCUAUCCGAGUUAACAUUGAAACGAGGAGAAACAAACGAGAAUAAGAGGCAACAAGGCGAUGGGGGGAAACAGAGCAAAACAUGAAUUCGAAUAAUUAAGGCGACGAGGAAGACGACGAAGAAAAAACGAGACUAAUACCUUCAAAGUCGCCCAGACAAAGCUUCGAUGAACUAAGCGGCCUCGAUUUGAGUUAAAACAAAAAUUAACCAUUUGUUUUUUGAAGAAAACACACGGUCAAUAUCCGUUUCGAACUAUAUCGCUCAAAGAAGUCUGAAAACUUAAACUGUUAGUUCCCUUGAUUUAGACAUGCCACAGGUUUGAUUUGGUCAGGCUUUGGAGAAAAAAUGGUGAUGGAUUAGGGCUGAGGGGCGGGUGUUGGUCUUGUGGUUGUAUUUAGGGGCUGGCUCGUGGUGCAUGGUUUGCGUUAAACAAUGGAGGAAAAGGGGCUGGCUAGGGCUGAAUGAAGGAGAAGAAGAGAUACGAGGGGCAUUUGGUUUAGUCUUAGGUCAGGGAGUAAUUUUCGGACAUAACUAAGGAAUUGGGGAAGGGUUG